UAAGGGUUCCCAAUGUUGGGAAACCUGCAAGGCACCAGCAUGGUCCCACCAAGGUGGAUCCUGUAGGAGGAGUCAGGGCUAACACCUGCAACAGAUGUGACUAGGGUUUCCACUUCUCCUUUUCCCCCAAGUCUAGCAAGUCAACUCCUGACUUCUCAGACCACCAGGUGGAGAGAAAUGGAUGAGUGGGCUCAUGGUGUCACAUGAGUGACUGUAUAAGGGACAUACAAAUAUAUACAGGGGUAAGUACACAGGUGAAGACAGAGC
rnacentral:lncRNA from 1 species